UAGUCUGUGUAUUCAUGCCUUGUAGAUAACGAAAAAGUACAAAACAAAUAAAUAUCAACCUUUUGAAAGAGUACUUUGUUUGCGUGCGAACAAUUGCGCUGUGGAGUCUGAGAGUGUUAGCGUCAUGCCUCAUUUAUUUAAUAUUUUAUGAUGUGGCCGGAGCCGGAGCUCAGAGCUGUAAUUCGGCCGGAGCCGGAGAUGAAAAACCGGAGUUUGCACAGCACUAGCUCCCAACUUCCGUUUCAUGCAUGGUUCACUAGCUAUUAACCUUGUUUAACCAACUUAAUAGAGAAUAUAAUCUUCGAAGUAAUGAUACUGAUCAAUCUAGCACUUCCAAAACCUAAAACAAACUAUCUUAAGGUGGCUCCCUAGGGUUUUUUAAUUUACUACAUUAUAGUAUUCAGGAGACUCUUGUUUCUUUACUUUACAAGAUAUGAAGACGAAAUUUAUUGGACACAUUGCCAAUGUUCUCCUGAACAUUGCAAAUUGCUACUUUUGUGUUAAAAAUAUGUUGUCAUGGCAACAGCAUGCUUAGAAUAAAGCUCAAAAUUUGUCCUUUUCAGGUCAUUUUAAAAAGUUCCUUCGGUGAAAUUUUUUAAAACUUUGCACAAAAGAUAAUACUUGUAUAGUGAAUUUUUCCCCUCAAUUUAAAAAAAUUAAA